CAGCAGCCGCGGGAAUACGUAGGUGGCAAGCGUUGUCCGGAAUUAUUGGGCGUAAAGGGCGCGUAGGCGGACUGAUAAGUCAGGGGUGAAAUCCCAAGGCUCAACCUUGGAACUGCCUUUGAUACUGUUUGUCUUGAGUUCGAGAGAGGUAAGUGGAACUGCGAGUGUAGAGGUGAAAUUCGUAGAUAUUCGCAAGAACACCAGUGGCGAAGGCGGCUUACUGGCCCAUUACUGACGCUGAGGCUCGAAAGCGUGGGGAGCAAACAGGAUUAGAUACCCCCGUAGUCCCUGUCUCUUAUAC
rnacentral:rRNA from 1 species